AGAGUUUUAUAUUGUAUAGUGGUAUGUUGUAACUUUUUGAUUUACAUUAGAACAAGCGGAAUUGUUUUUCUUGUUAUUUAAUGAUCGUAGAAAAACUCGUAUCGUUUGAUCAAAUGAUGGAUUCUUGGUCCGAAAAUUUCUGCAGUACUUAUAGAACUUUUCAAUUCUUCUUGAAUGUACAAUCAAUAGUAGAAGAAAUUUCUGUGUAAUAGCUGUGAUUCCUCGAAUGCAGUCAAUUGUUUAGACUGGUAGUUCCUUGAUCUUUUAUGUAUGAAAAUGGAACAGCUUUUUUUUCGUGUGUCCCUUGUAGCGUAGAUUUUUACGAAAUUUGUCUUGAAGACUUCUUCGUUUUCGAUUGUUCUUUUAAUUGAAGAAAAAGUAUAAAAAUCAGCACAAUUGGCUUCUUUUUAUUAAUUCAUCUUCCAAUUCAUGUACGACUAUUCAUGUGUAUGCCAUUUAUUGAUCAAUCAAUCAUCGUCUCGAGUAGAAUAUUGCUUAGCAGCAAUUAAAUUUUUGAGGCAUAUUGGACAUAGGUUCCAUCUUUGCGUAACUCGUUCUAGAAAACUGAGGAACGAGAAAAGAGUUACUCCGAAGAGUUCUGCGUCUGACGUUUAUAUUCAGUUGUUCGAAAAGACUAGGACAGUGGUGGGAUGUAGGGACCAGUUUGAGAAUCACUGAUCCAACCCAUAACUUAGUAACUCAAGUCCGAUCAGGUUACAUAUGUGUUCGUUCCUAGGAUUGUGAGGGUCUCGCAAUGGAAGCUGAUGAAGGGCAAUUCGUAUAAACUUAUACUGCACAGCUUCAAUACAUUGUUUCCCUUUAUGAUACUGUAGCAAUCACGUGGUUUCAAUUAAAAAGUUUGCUUCCGUCACUUCGAUAUGGUUGCCUAGCUUAUCGAUUAAGCUUUCUUUCCCUACCUAAAGUUGGAAGAAUGAACAUCGGGCGGCAAUUUAGAAUGCGCCGCUUGCGUAGAUGCCGAUUGCCUAUUCUCUCCAAUUCUGUCUCUCUUUGCUGUAUCGUGACCUUUGGACUCGCGAAGCGACGAUGCGACUUACUUUUCAUGUUCUUGAUAUUCAAACAUUGACCCGAAGUUCGUUGAUUUGGGGAUAUGAGACGGUUAGAUGUGGACUACUAAAGGGAAAACGAGAAUUCGGUUCGGUUCUGAGUAGUCCAAUAUGGGUUCGUAAUGCGAUUUCCGGUUUCUUAAAUCCAAAAUCUCGUAUCUGAGGAUUAACAGUUUCUCUGAUCAAUCAUUUCAAUUUGAUCAGUGGAAGAGAUCAGAGUGGUUAAAUUUGUGUAGUUCGUGUUCGAAACAGGUAUUAGCGCAGUUAGGAGUUAGUUGAAAGUGCGGAGACUUUGCGUGCAAGUGCGAAGACCAUCAAAAGCCGUACGACGGCUUUUAAUUUCAGAUUUUGCGCUUGGUGAAGCUACAACCGCACCGCCAGCAAAGUUCAUCCGUCCUCCUGCCACCACGCCUGAUCCAUCUGCUCGUGACCGUAUGGUUAGUUACCAUCAAAACGAAGGACACAACGAUUCCACGUGUCAUCUGCGGCCAUCGCAAAUUCGCCGCGUGCCGGACUCUGCUCCGUUUUUUGUUGCUGGUAUGCUGUUUUGAGGUCCAACACUACCAGCAGUUACCCUUCAACCCGAGGACCUCACCCGGAGAAUCUGCGCUAGGAAGCGCAAAUAUCGACAGCGACACAUCUGCGCGGAAUUAGUACCGUGCGCAGCAAUACGACGUAGCAGGUAGCAGAAAGAAGGCUGGUCGACUAAUAAGAGUGAGUAAACGCCUAAAUCCCUGCGCAGGGUGAUAUAAAAGCUCCGAAAUUAUAGUACCGUCCAGAAUCUCCACCCGCACUUGCUAGGGCCCUGAACCGGGAAAUAAAAAAUGUAAUUUUUUUCGUAUGUAGGAAAUGUAAUUAGGAGUAAGUUAGGAUAAUAUAUGUAGUGUGUCGAAUUAAUGUUCGAAUAUAGUUUAGUAACUAGGAAAUUCGAAUAAAUGUUUGAAUUUAAAUAGAAACCGUUAGGUGUUUGUUGGUCGAAUAAAUGUUCGAUAGUGAUUCACGUUCUUAAGAUUAUGUGUUGUCAUUUGAAGUAAUAUUCCGGUAGUUUUGUCUCUUUAAAGGGUCUCUGGUUCGCGGUCGUUUCGUUAAUAGUUUGUGUUUCAGUACUCUGGGUUGGACUGCUCGGGAAAACAGUCCCCACUCUGGUUUCUUCGCUGGCUAUUAUUUGGUUGUUCUUAGGGGUUCUGCCAGUGAGGAAUCUGCGAGUUGGUUGGGAAAAUCGGUUGUUUAUUCGCGGAUUCGUUAGGUGAUUAUUAGGGAUCGACCUUUGACUCGGAGUACCCUUUGAUGUUUGCGUCUUCCGUUUCGUUUUCCCCAAGAUUAUUGUAAUCUGACCCGCUCUGAGGCGGAGUUUCUAGUCGGGCAACCUUGAACGUGACAAGUGGUCCUCGUAAGAGGUGGCGCUUAAGCCACUUGUUCGUAGAUCUGGGAAACGAUACAGCAGACAGUUCCGUUACACCGUAGUGCACGCUACAUUUUGGCGCCCAACGUGGGGCACGUUAUCUGGAAAUCAAUGAGAUUAGUUUGGGUUCCAAGAUUGGAAUUAUGUUUAUACUUCGGAUAUAUCGAUUAGACGCAUAAUCGUUCUGUUAAAUUCAAUGUUGUAUUUUCUAGAGUGGUAAUUGCUGCGAGGAAAUAUUUGUUGUACGGUAGCUAAAGUGUAAUCGUGGAUGUUGUGUGUAGUUGUAGGUGUAUAGUGUAGGCAUAUUUAAAAUUUUAUUGGCGGUAAUGGCUUACGAAU